GACCAACGCUGGCGGCAUGCCUAACACAUGCAAGUCGAACGGACAGAACAGGGAAGCUUUUCGGAGUGGAACUGGAAAGUUAGUGGCGGAUGGGUGAGUAACGCGUGGACAACCUACCUUGUAAAGGGGAAUAACCUCGAGAAAUCGAAGCUAAUACCCCAUAAUAACCUUGCUUCGCAUGAAGUAAGGAGGAAAGGCGGCCUUAGCGCUGUCGAUACAAGAUGGGUCCGCGUCUGAUUAGCUAGUUGGUGAGGUAAAGGCUCACCAAGGCGACGAUCAGUAGCCGGCCUGAGAGGGUGAACGGCCACAUUGGGACUGAGACACGGCCCAAACUCCUACGGGAGGCAGCAGUGGGGAAUCUUCCGCAAAGGGCGAAAGCCUGACGGAGCAAUGCCGCGUGAGUGAAGAAGGCCUUCGGGUUGUAAAACUCUGUCCUUAUCGAAGAGAGAGUGUUGUAGUAACUGACAAUACUAGGACGGUAGAUGAGGAGGAAGCCCCGGCUAACUAUGUG
rnacentral:rRNA from 1 species